rnacentral:rRNA from 1 species
AACGAACGCUGGCGGCAGGCUUAACACAUGCAAGUCGAACGCAUCGCAAGGUGAGUGGCAGACGGGUGGGUAACACGUGGGGAUCUGCCCAAUGGUACGGAAUAGCUCCGGGAAACUGGAAUUAAUACCGUAUGAGCCCGCAAGGGGAAAGAUUUAUCGCCAUUGGAUGAACCCGCGUCGGAUUAGCUAGUUGGUGUGGUAAAGGCGCACCAAGGCGACGAUCCGUAGCUGGUCUGAGAGGAUGAUCAGCCACACUGGGACUGAGACACGGCCCAGACUCCUACGGGAGGCAGCAGUGGGGAAUAUUGGACAAUGGGCGCAAGCCUGAUCCAGCCAUGCCGCGUGAGUGAUGAAGGCCUUAGGGUUGUAAAGCUCUUUCGCCGACGAAGAUAAUGACGGUAGUCGGAGAAGAAGCCCCGGCUAACUUCGUGCCAGCAGCCGCGGUAAUAC